CGCGUGCCCGCGAGCUGCUUGUGUUUAUGCCCAUAUCGUUUUUCUGUUCACGACACCCCCAUGGCUGCCUACAGCCUCUGCCCACCUACAAUCCUCAUUGUUUGUUUAGUGCUCAUUAACCCACAUUGAACGAUCCCAGUCGAUGAAUGAAUGCAUCUGGUCCAGCAAGAGGGGAGGGCAGAGCAGAGCAGGGCAUACAAUGUGUUUCUUUCCCAUAUACUUUUGCCUGCUUCAAGUACUAGUAUACGUAUGAUCAUCAUUAGAGGCUAAUCUCCUUUUUGCCGGGUCAUUGGAUGCUAAUCAUAGUUUAAGACGUUGGUCGGUCAAGUCAAGCAAAACUAGUACGUAUGUAGUGACAUGUGAUUCAUCGGUCAAGUCAAGCAAGACACAACUACACUCACUCUAAGUGACUCUGCUCUCCCCGUCCGGCCCUCGCAUCCGCCACUUGCUGCUCAGCCUUGCCGGCCGGCAACACAGAGUUUCGUCCUGCACUAUAUUUCUUGCUCAAUUGUUGUUAGUGCUUAGGUUGUACUAGUAGCAGCAGCAGAAGUACAAGAAGGUUUUCAGAUUUCUCACUUGUGCAAAGAAUAAGUUUAGUCAAUCUAAUAUUCAUACUUACACUGUAAAUCCCUAUGUACUUCUAGUGAAUUCCCUUUGUAAUGGUAGUGUUUGCAAUGUAAAAUUGCAUUGUAAGAUAGACUAAUAAAAGACUGAAACUACAGUACAAAUCAUUGUUACUAAACUGAAAAUAUUUAGACUGAAAAUAUGCACUGUAAUUUAAUGUGCAUUUUUGCCCAGUAAUGUGUAUUCCUUCUCUUUUUGGUUGCCUGAAUUUAAUGUGGUUUUGGACUGUAAUUUUCAGUAAUGUGUCACUUCUAGUUUACCUGAAUAUUUUUGUAUUCUUAUCAGUUUUGUGCCCCAUUCUAAAGAAGUUCAGUAAAUGUGUACGUCCCAUUCUGUAAAUACAAUAUUUUACAAACCAUUUAGAUACGACAACCUGAUCUUUGUUUCCUUUUUCACAAGAGCUAUUUUUGGCUUACAUGAAGGGAUGCAUGCUCUUCAUCUUGCAUGUAUGACUCAUCCUCGCAUUCUUACUUCGCCUUUGUUUCCUUCAGCUUCUUGAUUCUGAAAUUUUAAGAUAAAUUGUAAGUACUCAGUAUCAUGUUCUUAAGCAAAGCUACUGUUUUUUGCUUGAAUUACAGUGUUUUGUCUGACCUAUGUAUAGUGUCAAUGAAAUCUAAAUUUCAAGAUGGAGAUACAUUUUUUGGUGGCAUCUUACAUCACAGUAAUUUACAACCAAGAUAGGUUUACAAUGUCUUUUUGAUAGCAAUUAUAAUGCAUAGCUUCAGAUUUUGUCGAACACACAUGUAUUUGUAUGCAUGACAAAUACUGGGGUCAAACAGAAUAACAAGUAAAACAUUCAUUUUGUCUUCAUAUUUACUUGAAGGACUGCAUGUUCUUCAUCUUUGUAUGCCCCAUGUAUUUGCUUGUAAGCUUCAGUAGUGUUAUCUAUCUAGUCUGAUUUAUAUACUCCAUUCCUAAGCUGAAAUAUUUUUUGUAACUGAAAUAUAUAGUCUGAGUUUAUUUUACUGCCUUUUGUAGUAAAAGAAAAUGGAAAUCACAAAAAAAUGUUUGUUUCUCUGCCUUUUGUACUAAUGGAGAGGGAAAGUCACAAAAAAUGUUUGUUUUUAGGGUCGAGCAGUCAGUUGGUUUGUUGCUCACUCAGAAAUGUUUUUGGUUUUUGGGGGUUCGAUGUGUACAUUGUGCAUCAGCAUACACUGCUAGUUGCCCGUGGAGAUCAGCACUGAAGAAUAAACAAAUCCUGGCACCUGAGCUAUUUACACAAGGAGGGGACCCAGCCUUCUUCACGGCUCGCGGCAGUGUCUCCCAUUGAUUCGUUCGUGCAACAAGGAGGGGACUCGCCCUUCUUCACGUCUCGUGCAACAAGGGUGAUCGAUGCGGACUACCGCUGCCUGGUGGGCGUCGUGCUCUUCAACCACUCGGAGGUGGACUUCGCCGUGAAGCCCGGCAACCGCGUCGCACAGAUGAUCGUCCAGGUGAUCGUGACGCCAGAGGUCUCCGAGGUGGAGGACCUCGAUACCAUCGUUUGGGGGGAGGGAGGAUUGGGGUCCACCAGCAUCUGAACUCCGAGCCUUGGUAGAUACAUCUGAAGUGGUAUGUUUAGGCUGCUGGUAGAACACUAGGAAAGGUACCCACCUUUGGUUGUGUGCGUUUAUUGUUAAAUGGAAUCACGUGAUCUCUUGCAGUUGAGAUGUUCAAUGUUGCAUCUAUGAAUGGUGCAAGUGUUAAGAUGGUCCUCUGACCUUAAUUUAUUUUGCACUGGAUGUG